rnacentral:ncRNA from 2 species
UUCUUAUCGAGAGUGGUGGAGGGACUGGCCCUAUGAAACCCGGCAACCAAUAUAUUAUAUAUAUAAGGUGCUAAAUCCUGCAGUAAGUAACUGAUAGAUAAGGG